rnacentral:lncRNA from 1 species
UUUGUCUAUGCAAUGUCCAACAUUUGAGAUUUGCAUUGCGAGAGAUGUUUGUUUGUAAAACAAGGAUAAGAAAUAGCUGGGUCUUUGAUGCCUAUAUCCCUCUUUUGAAUUUUAAAUUCUAAAAUGCCAUAAUUUGAAAAAUAUAUACAGAAAUGCCCUACUUUUUUGCCCCAAUUGCUCAUCGCCACCUCAAGCUUUUCGGUCAAGCUCCGCCACUAGAUACAAUACAAAUUCAAUUUUGUUGAAAACAAAAAAGAUAAAUCUGCGAACAAAACAACAUACCUACAAAUAUGACAAAAUUUAGAUGUUCAUAAUACUUAAGCAUCAAGAUCUGUAAUAUUGACAAUGCAAAAUUAUUAAUUGAAAUAUUUCAUGGGUCAAAGCUACUUUGUAAAUCUGAACCAAAACACCGCAUCAAGACGAGAAAACUAAAAAUGCUGCACCAAGACGGAAAAACAAAAAAAGUUCCAACUAAAUGACAAAAUCAAAAAGAAAAAAAAAUGUGAAAGAAAAUAAAAUUUAUUUCAAAAGUACUAUAUACUAUAACUAAUAGAAAAAAUAAACACCAUAAUAUCCAAAGAGGAUGUGAAAAGAAUAUUUUCAAGCCAAGUGAGAAAAUUAGAAGGUAGAUUGUCAAACCUGAUCUCUAGAGGAGAUUAAAAUCAAAACUGUUUUGUUUAAAGGCAUUUGUAGAAAAUGCGAUUGAUGUCUUCAUCCUCCUCGUUGAUUAAAGAAUCAACUAAGACACUUCUUCAAAUAAAGUUUGUUUUAACAUUAAGACUAUUAUGCAAAAUUCUCCAUAGGGGUUCACAUGUUUUGCAUUUGUUUUAAGGUUUAAACAAUCCGAGUUGGAUCAAGGGUUAGAGGUGGAGGAAGAUUCAAAGCUUCCCAGUGUUUAAUAAUAAUUGAACAAAUCUUUUUGGUGAAGGCCCCAAACUAGAUGCUAUAUUUGGCUAGAGAUAGGGAGUGGUAAUUAAU